rnacentral:rRNA from 1 species
CCUACGGGCGGCAGCAGUAGGGAAUCUUCCACAAUGGGCGAAAGCCUGAUGGAGCAACGCCGCGUGGGUGAAGAAGGUCUUCGGAUCGUAAAACCCUGUUGUCAGAGAAGAAAGUGCGUGAGAGUAACUGUUCACGUUUCGACGGUAUCUAACCAGAAAGCCACGGCUAACUACGUGCCAGCAGCCGCGGUAAUACGUAGGUGGCAAGCGUUAUCCGGAUUUAUUGGGCGUAAAGGGAACGCAGGCGGUCUUUUAAGUCUGAUGUGAAAGCCUUCGGCUUAACCGGGGUAGUGCAUUGGAAACUGGGGGACGUGAGUGCAGAAGAGGAGAGUGGAACUCCAUGUGUAGCGGUGAAAUGCGUAGAUAUAUGGAAGAACACCAGUGGCGAAGGCGGCUCUCUGGUCUGUAACUGACGCUGAGGUUCGAAAGCGUGGGUAGCAAACAGGAUUAGAUACCCUGGUAGUC